rnacentral:rRNA from 1 species
UACGGGAGGCAGCAGUGGGGAAUAUUGCACAAUGGGCGCAAGCCUGAUGCAGCCAUGCCGCGUGUAUGAAGAAGGCCUUCGGGUUGUAAAGUACUUUCAGUCGUGAGGAAGGUGUUAAGGUUAAUAACCUUAGCAAUUGACGUUAGCGACAGAAGAAGCACCGGCUAACUCCGUGCCAGCAGCCGCGGUAAUACGGAGGGUGCGAGCGUUAAUCGGAAUUACUGGGCGUAAAGGGCACGCAGGCGGUUAAUUAAGUUGGAUGUGAAAUCCCCGGGCUUAACCUGGGAAUGGCAUUCAAGACUGGUUAGCUAGAGUCUUGUAGAGGGGGGUAGAAUUCCGAUGUGUAGCGGUGAAAUGCGUAGAGAUGUGGAGGAAUACCGGUGGCGAAGGCGGCCCCUGGACAAAGGCUGACGCUCAUGUGCGAAAGCGUGGGGAGCAAAC